CUGGAUGCAUAUGACCUGCUACCUUGCUCCUGCCUACCUCUAGGCAUGGAAGCACUAGUAGAUGACGGUGCUGGCAUAGACGAACGAUCCUGAUACUAAGGGCGACUCUCUCCUUGUAAUAUAGUCUGACCCUGUCUGUGCUGCUCGGAUCUAGCUCUCUUAUUCCCUCUCAUUCUAUCUCUCUCCUUAAUCUUGUCUGCCUCAAUCUGUUGGGCAUGAGUCAUCAGCGUAGAAAGAUUCAUCUCACUAUUCAGCAUAGCAGACCUACAC
rnacentral:lncRNA from 1 species